GACGAACGCUGGCGGCGUGCUUAACACAUGCAAGUCGAACGGAAAGGCCCUGCUUUUGUGGGGUGCUCGAGUGGCGAACGGGUGAGUAACACGUGAGUAACCUGCCCUUGACUUUGGGAUAACUUCAGGAAACUGGGGCUAAUACCGGAUAGGGGCUCCUGCUGCAUGGGGGGGGUUGGAAAGUUUCGGCGGUUGGGGAUGGACUCGCGGCUUAUCAGCUUGUUGGUGGGGUAGUGACUUACCAAGGCUUUGACGGGUAGCCGGCCUGGGAGGGUGACCGGCCACAUGGGGACUGAGAUACGCCCCAGAAUGCUACGGUAGGCAGCAGGGGGGAAUAUUGCACAAUGGGCGGAAGCCUGAGGCAGCAGCGCCGCGUGCGGGAUGACGGCCUUCGGGUUGUAAACCGCUUUCGCCUGUGACGAAGCGUGAGUGACGGUAAUGGGUAAAGAAGCACCGGCUAACUACGUG
rnacentral:rRNA from 1 species